GACGAACGCUGGCGGCGUGCCUAAUACAUGCAAGUCGAGCGCAGGAAAUCGAUGGAACCCUCCGGGGGGAAGUCGACGGAAUGAGCGGCGGACGGGUGAGUAACACGUAAAGAACCUGCCCUCAGGUCUGGGAUAACCACGAGAAAUCGGGGCUAAUACCGGAUGGGUCAUCGGACCGCAUGGUCCGAGGAUGAAAGGCGCUCCGGCGUCGCCUGGGGAUGGCUUUGCGGUGCAUUAGCUAGUUGGUGGGGUAAUGGCCCACCAAGGCGACGAUGCAUAGCCGACCUGAGAGGGUGAUCGGCCACACUGGGACUGAGACACGGCCCAGACUCCUACGGGAGGCAGCAGUAGGGAAUCUUCCACAAUGGACGAAAGUCUGAUGGAGCAACGCCGCGUGAACGAUGAAGGCCUUCGGGUCGUAAAGUUCUGUUGUAAGGGAAGAACAAGUGCCGCAGGCAAUGGCGGCACCUUGACGGUACCUUGCGAGAAAGCCACGGCUAACUACGUGCCAGCAGCCGCCGUAAGAC
rnacentral:rRNA from 1 species